rnacentral:rRNA from 1 species
GAGUUUGAUCCUGGCUCAGGAUAAACGUUGGCGGCGUGCCUAACGCAUGCAAGUCGCACGAGAGCUUCGGCUCUAGUGGCGGACGGGUGAGUAACACGCAGGAACCUGCCCGGAAGUGGGGGAUAACUCUCCGAAAGGAGAGCUAAUACCGCAUACGGUCUACGGACCAAAGCUCAGGCGCUUCCGGAGGGGCCUGCGGCGGAUUAGCUAGUUGGUGGGGUAAUGGCCUACCAAGGCGACGAUCCGUAGCUGGUCUGAGAGGAUGGUCAGCCACACUGGGACUGAGACACGGCCCAGACUCCUACGGGAGGCAGCAGCGAGGAAUUUUGCACAAUCGACGCAAGUCGGAUGCAGCAACGCCGCGUGCGGGAAGAAGGCCUUCGGGUUGUAAACCGCUUUUGUGGGGGAAGAAGAUCUGACGGUACCCCACGAAUAAGUCACGGCUAACUACGUGCCAGCAGCCGCGGUAAUACGUAGGUGGCAAACGUUGUCCGGAUUUACUGGGCGUAAAGCGCGCGCAGGCGGAUUGGUCAGUCCGAGGUUAAAGCUCCCGGCUCAACUGGGAGAGGCCCUUGGAUACUGCCAAUCUUGAGGGGCCUAGAGGAGAGUGGAAUUCCCGGUGUAGUGGUGGAAUGCGUAGAUAUCGGGAGGAACACCAGUGGCGAAGGCGGCUCUCUGGGGGCAACCUGACGCUGAGGCGCGAAAGCAUGGGGAGCAAACCGGAUUAGAUACCCGGGUAGUCCAUGCCGUAAACGA